CUAGAGACCGGCGCACGGGUGCGUAACGCGUAUGCAAUCUACCUUUUACAGAGGGAUAGCCCAGAGAAAUUUGGAUUAAUACCUCAUAGUAUAGCAGUUUCGCAUGAAACCACUAUUAAAGUCACAACGGUAAAAGAUGAGCAUGCGUCCCAUUAGCUAGUUGGUAAGGUAACGGCUUACCAAGGCUACGAUGGGUAGGGGUCCUGAGAGGGAGAUCCCCCACACUGGUACUGAGACACGGACCAGACUCCUACGGGAGGCAGCAGUGAGGAAUAUUGGACAAUGGGCGCAAGCCUGAUCCAGCCAUGCCGCGUGCAGGAUGACGGUCCUAUGGAUUGUAAACUGCUUUUAUACGAGAAGAAACACUCCUACGUGACGGAGCUUGACGGUAUCGUAAGAAUAAGGAUCGGCUAACUCCGUGCCAGCAGCCGCGGUAAUACGGAGGAUCCAAGCGUUAUCCGGAAUCAUUGGGUUUAAAGGGUCCGUAGGCGGUUUAAUAAGUCAGUGGUGAAAGCCCAUCGCUCAACGGUGGAACGGCCAUUGAUACUGUUAAACUUGAAUUAUUAGGAAGUAACUAGAAUAUGUAGUGUAGCGGUGAAAUGCUUAGAGAUUACAUGGAAUACCAAUUGCGAAGGCAGGUUACUACUAAUGGAUUGACGCUGAUGGACGAAAGCGUGGGUAGCGAACAGGAUUAGAUACCCUGGUAGUCCACGCCGUAAACGAUGGAUACUAGCUGUUGGAAGCAAUUUCAGUGGCUAAGCGAAAGUGAUAAGUAUCCCACCUGGGGAGUACGUUCGCAAGAAUGAAACUC
rnacentral:rRNA from 1 species